rnacentral:rRNA from 1 species
UAGGGAAUCUUCGGCAAUGGACGAAAGUCUGACCGAGCAACGCCGCGUGAGUGAAGAAGGUUUUCGGAUCGUAAAACUCUGUUGUUAGAGAAGAACAAGGACGUUAGUAACUGAACGUCCCCUGACGGUAUCUAACCAGAAAGCCACGGCUAACUACGUGCCAGCAGCCGCGGUAAUACGUAGGUGGCAAGCGUUGUCCGGAUUUAUUGGGCGUAAAGCGAGCGCAGGCGGUUUCUUAAGUCUGAUGUGAAAGCCCCCGGCUCAACCGGGGAGGGUCAUUGGAAACUGGGAGACUUGAGUGCAGAAGAGGAGAGUGGAAUUCCAUGUGUAGCGGUGAAAUGCGUAGAUAUAUGGAGAAACACCAGUGGCGAAGGCGGCUCUCUGGUCUGUAACUGACGAUGAGGCUCGAAAGCGUGGGGAGCAAACAGG